ACGCUGCGAACUGCGAUACGUAAUGCGAAUUGCAGGAUUCAGUGAGUCAUCGAAAUUUUGAACGCAUAUUGCACUUUCGGGUUAUGCCUGGAAGUAUGCCUGUAUCAGUGUCCG
rnacentral:rRNA from 1 species